CUCCGGGGAGGGAGCCUGAGAAACGGCUACCACAUCCAAGGAAGGCAGCAGGCGCGCAAAUUACCCACUCUCGGCACGAGGAGGUAGUGACGAAAAAUAACGAGAUGGAUCUCUUUGAGGCCCAUUAUCGGAAUGAGAACAAUUCAAAUCCUUUAACGAGGAUCUAGCGGAGGGCAAGUCUGGUGCCAGCAGCCGCGGUAAUUCCAGCUCCGCAGGUGUAUAUCUAUGCUGCUGCGGUUAAAAAGCUCGUAGUUGGAUCUGCGUGCUCGGAACUGGUUGGCUCACUGAGUUCAAACUGGUCUCCGGCGCUUUAUUUGCUGGUUUUCCCUUGAUGCUCUUAACCGGGUGUCUCGGGUGGCUAGCGUGUUUACUUUGAAAAAAUUAGAGUGCUCAAUACAGGCGCAAAGCCUUGAAUAGUGGUGCAUGGAAUAAUAGAAUAGGACCUCGGCUCCAUUUUGUUGGUUUUCGGAACACGAGGUAAUGAUUAAGAGGGACAGACGGGGGCAUUCGUAUUGCGACGUUAGAGGUGAAAUUCUUGGAUCGUCGCAAGACGGACGACUGCGAAAGCAUUUGCCAAGAAUGUUUUCAUUAAUCAAGAACGAAAGUUAGAGGUUCGAAGGCGAUCAGAUACCGCCCUAGUUCUAACCGUAAACGAUGCCAACUAGCGAUUCGCAGGCGUUAAACAACGACCUUGCGGGCAGCUUCCCGGAAACGAAAGUGUUCCGGUUCCGGGGGAAGUAUGGUUGCAAAGCUGAAACUUAAAGGAAUUGACGGAAGGGCACCACCAGGAGUGGAGCCUGCGGCUUAAUUUGACCCAACACGGGAAAACUCACCCGGCCCGGACACCGUAAGGAUUGACAGAUUGAGAGCUCUUUCUUGAUUCGGUGGGUGGUGGUGCAUGGCCGUUCUUAGUUGGUGGAGCGAUUUGUCUGGUUUAUUCCGAUAACGAACGAGACUCUGGCCUACUAAAUAGUGGGCGGAUUCUUUCUGUCCGCAACACUUCUUAGAGGGACAAGCGGUGUUCAGCCGCACGAGAUUGAGCAAUAACAGGUCUGUGAUGCCCUUAGAUGUCCGGGGCUGCACGCGCGCUACACUGAAGGAAUCAGCGUGCUUUCUGACCUUGCCCGAAAGGGCUGGGUAACCCGAUGAAAAUCCUUCGUGAUUGGGAUAGGGACUUGCAAUUAUUUCCCUUGAACGAGGAAUUCCCAGUAAGUGUGGGUCAUAAGCUCGCGUUGAUUACGUCCCUGCCCUUUGUACACACCGCCCGUCGCUGCCCGGGACUGAGCCGUUUCGAGAAGAACAGGGACCGUCGUUGAAGGGCCCUAACGGGCUUUUCUCUGAUAGAAACUGUUUUAAUCGCAGUGGCUUGAACCGGGCAAAAGUCGUAACAAGGUU
rnacentral:rRNA from 1 species